ensembl:lncRNA
CAACCUCCGCCUCCUGGGUUCAAGCAAUUCUUCUGCCUCAGCCUCCCAAGUAGCAGGGAUUACAGGCAUGCGCCACCAUGGCUGGCUAAUUUUGUAUUUUUAGUAAAGACGGGGUUUCUCCAUGUUGGCCAGGCUGAUCUCAAAUUCCCAACCUCAGGUGAUCCACCUGCCUAUGCCUCCCAGAGUGCUAGGAUUACAGGCAUGAGCCACUGCAACCAGCCCAUACUGGUUAUUUACUGUAUAUUAUCUAUAUUAUAUACUACAGUCUGAAUGCUAAAAUUACCUCACAGGCUAAUUUCACUAGCCUGAUAAAACGUCACCAGCUACUUCUUUUCAGAUUGUGUCUCAUCAGCUCUCUCUUUCAGAAUGUAAUCUGAUAAACUUUCUCUAGAGCAUAGAGCACUGGUUCUCAAAAUGUAAUCCCAGAUGCAACACUACAGCAGUAGCAUCACUUCAGAACAUGUCAGAAAUGUAACUUCUCAGCCAUACUACCCACCACUACCACCUCUCCUUCAGACUACUGAAUCUGAAACUUUAGACCCCGAGGGCUCGUUAAACGGAUGGGCCUCACUGCUGGUGGUUCCACCUCUUUUGAUAUUGGCAAUAUCUAGUGAAGUUAAAAAUGUGUAUAUCCAAUAACCCAAAAAUUCUAAAUCUAGGUCCUAGGAAUCCUAAAGAAAUUCUCACAUAUUGCUCAAGGAGAGGAGUACUAAGUUAUACACUAAAGCAUCAACCAAAGAAUGGAUAAAUAGGUUGUUGAAUACUCAUACUAUGGAAUACUUCAUAGAGGUGAAAAUCAGUAAAUCAGAGCUAUAUGUAGUAGCAGACCUUUAAUGUGGGAAAAAAGGAACCACCCAUAUAAAAAUUAAGACCAUUAUGAUAUAUUGUUUAUGGAUGUACACAUAUGUAGAAAAGUAUAAAAAUACAUGUGGAAAUAGUGUUUACCUCUGAGAAGGAAUUCACAGGGAGCUCACUUGUGUUUGUAAUGUUUUAUUUUUUAAGUGCUAGAUGGUAAGUACUCAGUUCUCAUUUUCUGUACAUUUUGGAAUACCUGAAAUAUUUCACAAUUUUUUUAUGAUUAUAUCUGGAACCUGAAGUGAGAAGACAGAAGGACCCCCAGUACUAACAAGAACCCUUUCUAUUUUGCUUCAGGAAGAAGGAGAGAGCUUCAAAGAGGAGGAGAGGGCUAUGAUUGAGGUGUUCUGGGACAAUGUCAACCCACUCAAAUGCAGAGUGGUCAGACUCAAAGCCACCCCAAAAUAAGCCAGUGUUUGGAAGUGUACCCCAUCUUCCCCUCACCAUAAAGGUUAUAAUAUUGGUUUUAUUUCAGAUAAAACAGAAUUUCAUCUUCCAAACUCACAAAGUCUCUCUUAGUUAUUCUGAAAGGUAUUACCACUAAAUCUGUCUCUGUUGAAGUACCCUAUGGUUUCUCUACCAUUCCUCCUGGAUUGUGUCUACCUUAACCAGUGCAGUGUUAUCCUGGAACAGAGGAAACCACAGACCUUCAGGGCACACACUAGAGAAUAAUAUUUGCAGGUUUAAAAAGAUAACUGAAUGACAAAAUUAAAACCUCAGUUUGGUUGAAUGCUUCUCAUCCUAUUUUAACCACAAGUAGCAGAAAGAUCUGAAAUUCCACAGAGAUUAGAAUUUUAUCAGAAGAACUUCACCAUGAUAAUAAAAUUCACCAUAAACUUAACUGAAUAAAAGCAGUAAUAAUUUUUAAAAAGCUUUAAAAUGUAGUUGAAUUAUCUGUUCAA